rnacentral:misc_RNA from 1 species
UAUUUAGUAUUCCUAAUUAGAGUUUAUUAGAGUUUCUAUUUCUAAAUUAAUUAGAGUUGUAAGCUCUAUAAAAGAGAGUUCAUUUUUUAUUAUUCAAUAGCUUUACACUAUGCUUAUUAUUGAGAUCAAUAAAAUCGUUGAAAAUUAGUUCUCUUCUUUUCAAGGAUUAGUCCUUGAUCUGUUUUUUGUUCUUUAUUUAUUCCACAUCAAUUUUGGCAUCAGAGCCUAAAUUCAAUCUAAAUUUCCAUAAGCUUCCGCAAACUUUAGACCUUGUCUUGUGCCCUUGAAAUUUUCCUCUACUUUUCAUCCAAAAUUUUCUACCUUUAGUUUACUAUUUAAAAAAAGAGAAGGAAACAAAGUCACGAGAAAUAGAAAACCCAUCACUGACAGCACCAUUCUCAAAUAUCGACCAUCGUCUGGCUACCAGGCAGCACCGCCACCACUGGCACAGCACUCACCUGCACCAGGCAACCCUUCUGACACUGUUCCAAUCACCUGCAACUUCCCAGAAAGAAGAUCUGACCGGGUCAGAUCUUAACCCGAAUCCAGACCCGCAAAUUUUCCAGAUUUUUCCAGCAUAUAAUCAAUCCAGCAGCUCUCUGGUCUCCAAUCUGCCCGUUCCCACAGUCGGUAACCCAUUCCAACGCCUCCAGCUUUAAAAACCGACGUCGGAUUAGAUCCACCCAAAACCAAGUUGUGCUCACCAAGUCUUCCUGUGCUCUAAUUUGCAUUAGAUUUCUGCUGCAUCAACAAUUGCCACGUUAGCUCUCUUUGGCCACAUCAUUGCCACAUCAUCACCCUUGCCAGUCAACAAUUUUCAAUAGUACCCUACUUUGCUAAUUUGACAUCUUGCAUCUAAAUUUGUAGCUCGUUUUCUGCAGAAACAACUCUUAAAAGCUGAAUUUUGA